UCCUGAUUGGUCAGUGCUUUCUUUGUUACGGCCGUUGAGGUCACAAACCAACCACCAUGAUCAUUGUAACCAACCUGGCAACGUCUGGUGAUGUCUGAGAAGCAGUUUUCGGAGCAUUUUUGCCUUUUACAGAGGCCUGUUGGUCGGCACAGAUCUCCUGAGCUUCCAAGAUUAUCUACUGAAAUUUAAAGGGGUACUCCGCCCCUGGCAUCUUAUCCCCUAUCCAAAGGGCAGCGGUGACGAGCGAUGAUGGGUCCGGAGCGGCGGGGACAGAUAGUUGAGAUCAGAGAAGAUAUGAAGAACAAGAGAGAAGUGUAUAAAGAUAAUUUGGAUCGCUCUUUAAGCCUUUGUAUGAUGUAAUGGGACAGCACAAUGCAAUAAGUUUGCCUCCUUCCAUAUAAAGACACAACUCUCCAUGACCUACGUACACUUUUAGCAAGGAGUUUUCAUAGAACCGGAUCCAUCUCUGAUGAAAACCAUUGCCUCUGAGUUGGAGGCAGGGAAAUUUCAUUUGCAAUAUAUUCCUGUCUUGUUCUACAUAUAUUAUAAAUAUAUUCCUGUCUUGUUCUACAUAUAUUAUAAAUAUAUUCCUGUCUUGUUCUACAUAUAUUAUAAAUAUAUUCCUGUCUUGUUCUGUGUGUCUUGCUCAGCUGUCACACACCUUUGGUGGAUCUCCCACUACAUUUUGUGAUUUCAUUUUCCAUAGCAAUUCAACAUUUCUUGAGACCUAAACAACUUUGAAAUCAAUAUUCUUUGUUUUAUGUUUCCCCUUUUUUCUAAUAAACCUUUGCUUGCCGUUUUAAUAUAUUUCCAUCUGCUGUAUGACAAUGUUGUGCGGAUGGUAAGAUAAUGAAAACGAUAAAUUAGAGAGGCGGCUAUUGGAGCAAAGGAAAAGCAAAUGAAGCAAUAUAAUAUUAGAAAUGGGAUUAUUACUAUGUUUUAGGCUGAUGAGUUUUACUUAUUUAUUUAAUAAGAUCCUAAUAAACUCUCUGCUUCAUGAAGCACUCUAAAACAAUGAUAGGCUUCACCUUAUGUUACACUAUGAAUCUCUAACGGCAUACUAGUCGGGGCAGGUCUGUAUGAUUGAUGACUCUAAGGUCAUAAUAUUGGACACAUGUUAAAUCCGUAUGGCUACUACAAAACUUAGCUGGCUAUAAUAAUCUGAACGGCUCUCAUCAUGGGGUCCUACGACAGCCAAUGUUUGUCCUAACCAGUUUCUAAAAGCGGGCAGCAUUAUGAAGCCACAUGACCUACUGGGCUUUUGGAAGGGGCCAAGAUUAAAGGGGUACUCCACCAAAAAACAUCUUAUCCACUAGCCAUGCCCCCUCCAUUCAUGUCUAUGGGAGGGGGCAUGGGGGCUAGUACAUAACCGCCACGCCUCCUUCCAUAGACAUGAAUGGAGGGGGCGAGACGGCUGUAGUCGCCAAUCAUCCGGCACGGAGCGGAGUUCGCUCCGUGCACGGAUGACUGGGGUUCUGCGCCAAAGAUCGUGGGGGUCCCCAGUGGCGGGAACCCCACAAUCAGACAUCCUUUGGAUAGGGGAUAAGAUGUUUUUUUGUCAGAGUACCCCUUUAAAUCAGUUGACUCAGCAUGGUGGAAAUGACUCCAUAAAUUAUUUAUUCCAAAGAAAUGUCCUCAAGUUAAAAGAUAAUACAAGGGUCAUUCACAGGUUAGGGAAUAAGUAUGUAUCUAAUUGGCAGGCCAUCACUCCAGAGACCAGUUUGUCUUGGAAGAUGGGGGCCGGAGCACUUCACAGUAGGAAAUGGACCCUUUUCUGAAGAUCGUGGGGGGUCCCAUGAUUAGACACUUAUCCCCUAUUCUCUGAAUAGGGGAUAAUUUUUAUUUGCGGGACAACCUCCUUAAAUCUUGGGCUAACCCCAUUAACAACUAGUGUAUGUAUAUAUAUGUAGGACAAGGUUCUGAAAAAAAUUGUGUAAAAAGUGUGUAAAAAUAGGUGACUUUUGUGUUGGUGUAAAAAGUGUGAAAAAAAUGGGUGACUUGUGUUGUGAAAAAAAUGGAUGCAACCAUAAUUUUAUUUAGGCUGUUGGAGUUUGUGCAGGUUAUUGUGAUAGUAAGUAUUAACAUAUUACAGGUCAUAGUGAAUCUCAGUAUACUGAGCUAUAGAUGUAUAUAUCACUUACAGAGGCAUAACUUGUGGCUUCUGGGCCCCAAUGUAAAAUCUGCAACAGGGCCCAAUGUGUUAUUUUUAAUUCUGGUCUCUUAUGUGGCAGAUGUGCCUUGGUGCCUCUUUAGGCACCAGGGUCCCAACGUGACAGCUACCUCAGCACCCCCUACCGUUAUGCUCCUGAUCACAAUGAGGGACAUUUAUCAAUGUUUGCUUAUGUAUUCCUUUUUUUAGUAAUUUUUUCCUUACCUUUUUUUUGCUUAUGUGUGACUUAUUUAUCAACUGGUUUCAGCCUGUUGAUAAUUUUCUUUCACGUAAGCAAUUUUUCCUUUUUUACUUUGGUAGUAGCUUUUUCUGCUCCAUGUUUGAGCUGGAGUAAAUUUAGUCAAUUUUUAACGCUGUUGCGACUUUUUUUUGCGCAGUUGCGACUGUCGCAGUUAAUAAAUACCUGACUACCCGUAGUCCAUUUUAAAAUUAUUACUACAUAGUAAAUUUUAGGAAAACUUGCUUUUCUCGCUUUCCAGUCAAAAUGUCGCACGAAAAAGCGUGUAGUCGCAGUUGCGACAAUUUUGCGACAAUAAUAGUAAAGAAAACCUGACUAAACCUGUUGAUAAAUGUCCAUAUAUAACCUUUGUGAUUUAGUAUGGUUUUUCAAUCAGUCAACAUAACAUUUUAGAUAAUUUUUGAUAAGUUGUCAAGAAAAAAAAGAAAAGGAAAGAAUCCGGUUGAUGGCCCUGAUGUGGGACAGUCAGCUGGGUUUCAUAAAUGUAAUAAAACUAUUGUCUAUGUCUGUGGUCUGAAAACUGUGGCCUUUCAGAUGUUCCAAAAUGACAACUCUCAGCGUGCCCGGACAGCCAACAUCCGGAAGGCCACAGUUUGGAGACCCAUUGGUCUUUGUGAACGUGGUAACACUUGUAGCCGAAGAACACAAUAUCAUAAGGAAAUAGAGAAAGUUAGAGAAAGUAUGGUUAGGCAUGGCAGUGAAACAGAGCAUAAUAAUUUAUGAUAGAUAUAAAGGCAUAGAGUGUAGUUCCCUUAUUGGGCACCUGUGUAAUUUACAGGAGAAUGGAACACGUUUAUAUUGACCCUUGUAUAGUUAUUCGACAUUGGAGACUGACAGUAAAAUAAUUAUGCAAAGGACGUGCCAUCACUGUUCAUUGAAGACUUGUGAUUAUAAAGGGGUGCUGCAGUGUAGGAAAAUGUAUCCCCUAUUCAAAGGAUAGGGGAUAAGUGUUUGAUCGCGGGGGGUCUAACUGCUGGAAUCCCCCAGCGAUCUCCUGCAUGGUCGGUACGCGCCCUCCAUUCAUCUCAUCUGAGAGAUCCGGAGAUACAUCCUUUGCAUAGGAGAUACAUUUUUCCACACUGCAGAACUCCCUCAAUAGGGCUGGGAAUGCUAAAAAGAAGUAAAUCAGUUUUUUCAUGCGCUCCCGAGAAAUCUAAAGAGACAGAUGAACUUUUAAACCACAAGGCCAGGAACAUCAGAUUCCUCUUAUUUAAAGAUUUAGUCGGGAUGACUGAUAACGUUUAAAGUUACAUACGAAUUACAUUCUAAGCAUGAAACAAACUCGAAUUCUGCUAGGGCCCCAAUUGGAAAAGGGGUCUUCUGUAUAUUUAUGUACAUUUCUUUCUGUGGAGACAUCAAGCAAACCUGUGGAGUGGUUUAUGGUGCCGUACCUAAGGAAAGAGGAAAAGAAGCUGAGCUCUGUGACAUAAAUAUAUACGAUUUGGAGAAGGGUUUCUGAGUUAAAAGCAGAGGAAAUCUCGAAAAGACUCCUUACUGACUCUCCUGUCAGGAACUUCUCUGUUUCUUACUCAGAAGCCUUCCAAAUCAAAUAUAUAUAUAUAUAUAUAUAUAUAUGUAUGGUGGCCCAGUACGGGAGGUGUUGCCCCGUGCUCCUGCUGUCCUGUCAGGCAGCCUCCUUCAGUGUCCCCAAGGCCCCCUGCACUUGUUUCCCCAUUGUAAAUAUGUUUUACCAUGUAAAGUGUUAUAAAAUGUAAUGUUGCUUUAAGAGUUAUACCAUGUGAUAUGUCAUGUGAUUGUUACCCAGGAGGUACCAGUGACCAGGUGAUCCCAAGAGUGAUCUAUGGGCUUCAUGCUAGUCUCCCCCAUAUAAGUCCUGGGUGGAGCUAGCUUCUCUCUUUUUGAGCUCUGCUCUUCUGCUAAGCCAGUGCUUCUCAAAUGGUGGUGGUGGUGGUGGGGGGGCGAGGCUCCGUAAAGGGGGGGCUCGUUUGACCUUGGCAAAUAGUGUCAUAUUGGAUGUCUAGAUCGGAUUAUCCGACUCACUCGCAAGCGGCGUCCCACACAGCGUCGGUUGCCUAGCAACUCUACGGCUGGAUCUUACGGCCCUGGGUUGUCAGUGUGGCUGCCUGGGAGAGGCGCUUUGAACUCCGGCGUGGCGCGCUGCUACGUUAAGACGUGAGGUCACGUCACCAGGGUGACGUGACCUCACGUCUAAGCGCAGCAGCCCACCAUGUCGGAGUUCACUGUGCCACCGAGCAGUAUGUAAAGAGCCCUGCUUGUUGUCAGUGUACAGAGCCCUGCUUGUUGUCAGUGUACAGAGCCCCGCUUGUUGUCAGUGUACAGAGCCCUGCUUGUUGUCAGUGUACAGAGCCCCGCUUGUUGUCAGUGUACAGAGCCCUGCUUGUUGUCAGUGUACAGAGCCCCCCUUGUUGCCAGUGUACAGAGCCCUGCUUGUUGUCAGUGUACAGAGCCCCGCUUGUUGUCAGUG